AGAAAGCCACGGCUAACUACGUGCCAGCAGCCGCGGUAAUACGUAGGUGGCAAGCGUUAUCCGGAAUUAUUGGGCGUAAAGCGCGCGCAGGCGGUCCUUUAAGUCUGAUGUGAAAGCCCACGGCUCAACCGUGGAGGGUCAUUGGAAACUGGAAAACUUGAGUGCAGAAGAGGAAAGUGGAAUUCCAUGUGUAGCGGUGAAAUGCGCAGAGAUAUGGAGGAACACCAGUGGCGAAGGCGACUUUCUGGUCUGUAACUGACGCUGAGGCGCGAAAGCGUGGGGAGCAAACAGGAUUAGAUACCCUGGUAGUCCACGCCGUAAACGAUGAGUGCUAAGUGUUAGGGGGUUUCCGCCCCUUAGUGCUGCAGCUAACGCAUUAAGCACUCCGCCUGGGGAGUACG
rnacentral:rRNA from 1 species